rnacentral:rRNA from 1 species
CCAGAGAACUUAGCAGAGAUGCUUUGGUGCCUUCGGGAACUCUGAGACAGGUGCUGCAUGGCUGUCGUCAGCUCGUGUUGUGAAAUGUUGGGUUAAGUCCCGCAACGAGCGCAACCCUUAUCCUUUGUUUGCCAGCGGCUCGGCCGGGAACUCAAAGGAGACUGCCGGUGAUAAACCGGAGGAAGGUGGGGAUGACGUCAAGUCAUCAUGGCCCUUACGGCCAGGGCUACACACGUGCUACAAUGGCGCAUACAAAGAGAAGCGACCUCGCGAGAGCAAGCGGACCUCAUAAAGUGCGUCGUAGUCCGGAUUGGAGUCUGCAACUCGACUCCAUGAAGUCGGAAUCGCUAGUAAUCGUAGAUCAGAAUGCUACGGUGAAUACGUUCCCGGGCCUUGUACACACCGCCCGUCACACCAUGGGAGUGGGUUGCAAAAGAAGUAGGUAGCUUAACCUUCGGGAGGGCGCUUACCACUUUGUGAUUCAUGACUGGGGUGAAGUCGUAACAAGGUAGGCGUAGCGAG